rnacentral:rRNA from 1 species
GACGAACGCUGGCGGCGUGCUUAACACAUGCAAGUCGAACGGAAAGGCCCUGCUUUUGUGGGGUGCUCGAGUGGCGAACGGGUGAGUAACACGUGAGUAACCUGCCCUUGACUUUGGGAUAACUUCAGGAAACUGGGGCUAAUACCGGAUAGGAGCUCCUGCUGCAUGGUGGGGGUUGGAAAGUUUCGGCGGUUGGGGAUGGACUCGCGGCUUAUCAGCUUGUUGGUGGGUUAGUGGCUUACCAAGGCUUUGACGGGUAGCCGGCCUGAGAGGGUGACCGGCCACAUUGGGACUGAGAUACGGCCCAGACUCCUACGGGAGGCAGCAGUGGGGAAUAUUGCACAAUGGGCGGAAGCCUGAUGCAGCAACGCCGCGUGCGGGAUGACGGCCUUCGGGUUGUAAACCGCUUUCGCCUGUGACGAAGCGUGAGUGACGGUAAUGGGUAAAGAAGCACCGGCUAACUACGU